GGACAAGCUAAUAUAUAUUUUAUGUUAUUCAUGCGACGAAUGUAUAAUUAAGAAUUGUGACAUGUAUACUAGUUAAAAACUCAAUUGCAUGGUAGCAAUGAGGUCGUGCCUUUAUUCAUUGAUAUUUGAUCUGAUGAAAAACAUACUGAUGAAGACGAAAAAACUGACAUCGAAUAUGCAAUGACUGACUUAAUUGCAGAGAGAACUCUACUGUCCCUAUAAACAGAUGAAGAAAAUGCAAAGUACUAUUUAUUUUGCGCAUUUACUUGCCCUGAAACUCUUAAGAAAAAUUGACGAUUUCGCGGGGCGUUUCUUUUACAGAAAAAAAUCCUUCAUGGACCGUAUUUCGAAGCAUAUUUGAAUAGAUUCAAAAUAAUCGUUUUAAUUGAUUAGACAAAAACUUAGCACGAUACUACACGAAAUAGUCGUUAUUAUGCUAUCACAGCAGUUAGUCUCCAAUUAAGAGUUAAUUGCCGAUUUUUACCUACGUCCCGAAGCCGUCCGUUUGGAUUCU
rnacentral:lncRNA from 1 species